rnacentral:rRNA from 1 species
GAUGAACGCUAGCGGGAGGCCUAAUACAUGCAAGUCGAACGGUAACAGGUAGCAAUACGCUGACGAGUGGCGCACGGGUGCGUAACGCGUACACAAUCUGCCUUAUACUGGGGCAUAGCCUUUGGAAACGGAGAAUAAUUCCCCAUAAUAUAUAGAGAAGGCAUCUUUUUUAUAUUAAAGCUCAGGCGGUAUAAGAUGAGUGUGCGUCCGAUUAGGUAGUUGGUAGGGUAACGGCCUAUCAAGCCAACGAUCGGUAGCUGGUCUGAGAGGAUGAUCAGCCACACGGGCACUGAGACACGGGCCCGACUCCUACGGGAGGCAGCAGUAGGGAAUAUUGGACAAUGGGCGCAAGCUUGAUCCAGCCAUCCCGCGUGAAGGAUUAAGGUCCUAUGGAUUGUAAACUUCUUUUCUCUGGGAAUAAAAAUCACGAUUCUUCGUGACCUGAAGGUACCAGAGGAAUAAGCACCGGCUAACUCCGUGCCAGCAGCCGCAGUAA